rnacentral:tRNA from 1 species
GCAGGUGUAGCUCAAUGGCAGAGCAUUGGCUUCCCAAGCCAGUUACGAGGGUUCGAUUCCCUUCACCUGCUCCA